UUGAUCCUGGCUCAGGACGAACGCUGGCGGCGUGCUUAACACAUGCAAGUCGAGCGGUAAGGCCCUUCGGGGUACACGAGCGGCGAACGGGUGAGUAACACGUGGGUGAUCUGCCUCGUACUCUGGGAUAAGCCUGGGAAACUGGGUCUAAUACCGGAUAUGACCACGAAUCGCAUGGUUUGUGGUGGAAAGAUUUAUCGGUGCGAGAUGGGCCCGCGGCCUAUCAGCUUGUUGGUGGGGUAAUGGCCUACCAAGGCGACGACGGGUAGCCGGCCUGAGAGGGCGACCGGCCACACUGGGACUGAGACACGGCCCAGACUCCUACGGGAGGCAGCAGUGGGGAAUAUUGCACAAUGGGCGGAAGCCUGAUGCAGCGACGCCGCGUGAGGGAUGACGGCCUUCGGGUUGUAAACCUCUUUCGACAGGGACGAAGCGCAAGUGACGGUACCUGUAGAAGAAGCACCGGCCAACUACGUGCCAGCAGCCGCGGUAAUACGUAGGGUGCGAGCGUUGUCCGGAAUUACUGGGCGUAAAGAGCUUGUAGGCGGUUCGUCGCGUCGAUCGUGAAAACUUGCAGCUCAACUGCGAGCUUGCGGUCGAUACGGGCGGACUAGAGUACUGCAGGGGAGACUGGAAUUCCUGGUGUAGCGGUGAAAUGCGCAGAUAUCAGGAGGAACACCGGUGGCGAAGGCGGGUCUCUGGGCAGUAACUGACGCUGAGAAGCGAAAGCGUGGGUAGCG
rnacentral:rRNA from 1 species